GCUCGGGGUGGAGGGUGUGAAGUGUUUAUAAGAGCUGGAGAAUCAUGAAAAACAACCAGAGAUUGAAGCAGAAGACCCACGGACAGAGUCAGCUCUUCAGACGGACCUGCUGCAGUCAUGUGUGUCGCUCUUCACUGUGUGUUUCUCUGUGUUUCUCUGGCGCUCGGUGCUUGUUAUGAUUCUCAGGAGAGCCACGAGUCAUUCGAGGUAUUUGUGAAUCCAUAUCAGGCGAAUGCUUUCAUGAGGAGUCCACAAGAUCGCAUCUACAACCAGUACAUCUACAGG